GUUCCAUGUAAUAAGCAAAACCAUAUACUGCAAAACCAAUUAAGUUGAAAUGGUAUGUUGGUGGUUUGUGCAGGAGCUCAGAGGGCGAUCCAGGUGGGGCGCGUGAGGCAGGUACAGAGAGGAAGGCGAGGCCGAGGUCGUGAAUGAGCCACUGGCUUUGAGCUAUCGCAGGAAGAAGGGCACAAAGUUGAGACAGACCAGCCGAGGGAUUCUUAACAGAAGGGUUUGCCUCUGCUGCCUCCGUCGCAUCUGCUGAUGUGGACCCUGGCUUUCAGCUCUCUGGCCUUCGGCUCUUCGCCAACACACAAAAUUCUUUGGAAAAAAAAGAGUACAAGGCAAGACCCUAAAAUCGGGCCCGAUCAGAACCUCCAUCCAGGCUCUGAAUUUAAGCGGAUGAGGGCUGAGACUUGGCAUCCCUGGCGUAUUUGGUGAUGGUAUAUGGCAGGAGGCACCUGCCACGGUGGGGUUCCAGCACCUCAGAAGUCACUGGGCUCUGAUGCCCUGAACUUCGCAAGGAAGCUGGAGUGUCCCCUAUGUCACAGUCACGGCACAUCUCCAGGCACCCCUGACCCCACCCAGGGCACCCACGGUCUCUUCCAAAUACCAUCUUGUCGCCAGAUCUCGGGAGCCUCUGCCCUUAGAUCUAAAGAGACAAAGCCAGUGGGCUUGGUUCAGGAUCCCUCUGCCCCUCCUCGGUGUACUGUCAUGAGUGGCCACAUACCCCGGGGGCUGCCUAGAGAGGCUCCUAGACCCUGCAGCCCGGGGCUCAGUAGGCAAAGCUGCUCAGAAAGGCAUCUCCCACUAUGGAGGUGGCCGGGGCGCGAAGCGGGCAGCUGGGGCCACAAAAUGCCUUCCCCUGGAGAUAAGCUUCUGUCCUGGCCCUGCCUCCCCUUUCAGCCCCAAUUCCUGUCCUCUCCCGGUGCAAUGAAGACGAAGAAAACAGAAAAUGGGACAUCACCCCUCGCUCCGGAGCCCUGAGCAGCUGUUCCACAGCGGACACCAAAGGGGCCAAGGGGCUUGAGGGGGCUGGUCAGCAGCAGCUAAGAUGUCCCAGCCUUGCGGUCCAUGGUCAGGGAAGCAGACCACAGAGCCAGCCAGGUCGACCUGGCAUGGAGCCUAACCCCAUCUGGAGAUGGUGUCCCAGAACCAGUCUGGAAACAAAGCAUGUGGCUGAGUAAGAAGGGCUGAUGGAGUUCCCUUGUGGUGCAGCAGGUGAAGGACCCAGUCGCUGCUGAGGCUUGGGUUCGAUCCCUAGCCUGGGAACUUCCACAAGCUCUGGGCAAGGCCAAAAAAAAAGGUGGCGGGGGUGGGGGGGGGCGGUGGCUGAGUGUUUAACAGAAGCCCAGCAGUGUCAGCUAGGCUCAAACCCUCUGGCGAUGCCGUGAGCUGUGGUGUAGGUCGCAGUCACGGCUCGGAUCCCGCAUUGCUGCGGCUGUGGUGUAGGCCGGCGGCUGCAGCUCCAACUGAACCCCUAGCCUGGGAACCUCCAUAUGCCAUAGGUGCGGCCCUAAAAGGACACAAAGACAAAAGAAAAAUAAAGGCCUGAUCUGCUCACUCUCACAUUUUAGAAUAAUAAUGUCUAUGCUUUAUGGAUGGCUUUCUACGCUUCAGAUCAUAUCCAGCCAUUUUGCCUGCAUUAAUUCAUUUCAUCUUUUUUUUUUUUUUGGCUAUGCCCACGGCGUGUGGACGUUCUUAGGCCAGGGAUCCCACCCCACACGACAGCAGCAACCUGAGCUGCUGCAGUGACCAUGCCAGAUCCUUAAUCUGCUGUGCCACGAGGGGACGCACCUUUUUUUUUUUUUUAAUUGAAAUAUAGUUGGUUUACAAUGUGGUGUUGGUUUCUGGUGCACAGCAAAGAACAUAUGCUUUUCUGUUACAGUUUAUCACAUGACCCUGAGUCUAGUUCCCUGUGCCAUUCAUUAGGAUCUUGCUGUUUCUCUAUUUUAUAUAUAGCAGUUUGUAUCUUCUAAUCCGAAGUCCUAACUUAUCCCUUCCCCACCCACUUCCCCUUCGGUAGCCAUAAGUUUGUUUUCUAAGUCUGGAGUUUCUUUCUAUUCUGUAAAUACGUUCAUUUGUACCAUAUAUGUGCACAUAAGUGAUUUCAUGUAUUUGCCUUUCUCUUUUUGACUUACUUCACUUAGUAGGAGAAUCUCUGGGUUCACCCAUGUUGCUGCAAUGGCGUUAUUCCAUUCUUUUUUAUGGCUAACAUCCCACUGUGUAUGUACCACAUCUUCUUAUCCGUUCCUCCGUUAAUGGACAUUUUGGCGGCUUCCAUGUCUUGGCUACUGUAAAUAGUGCUGCAAUGAACAUUGGGGGGCAUGUACCUUUUCAAAUGAGAUUUCUCCAGACACACGCCCAGAAGUGGGAUUCCUGGAUCAUACGGCAACUCUAGUUUUACUUUUUAAAGGACUCUCCCCACUGUGUUCCAUGGCAGUUGCACCAAUUUACAUUCCAACCGUGUGGGAGGGUUCCCUUCUCCCCACGCCUCCUCUGGCAUUUGUUAUUUGCAGAGAGAGCUCUUUUGAUCCUCAGGAAAAUCUUGGUUGUUUUACCCCACUCGUGUCCCUUUUUCAAAUGACAAAAUUGAGGAUUCGAGAAAUCAAGUAAUUUCUCCAAGUUUAUUUAUCUACAAGUGGCAGAGGUGGGAUUUGACAUUAGGUCUGCUCGAUUCCCAAACUCAAACUAUAGUCCCCCCCAGGAGCCCUCAUGCGCUGCCCAGCGGCCAUGUCCUUACAGUUCUAAGGACUGAAGUCUAGGAACGAAAAGGAAAGGAUGGAAGGACCAGGAUUCUUAAGGUCCUGACUCCAGUGCCUCUGUUUCCCUGGGAAGGACUUCAGUUACCAAAACCCAGGUCUAAAAAUCUGUCCUUCCAAAUACCAGCAGCCCUGGGUCUGGUACAGAUGAAACCGCAGCCGCCUCGGACCUAGCUGCAGGGUAACCUCUCUAAUCCUCUGACACAGUUUGGAGGCACCUGCCGCUCCUUGCCCCCAGGACCAGCCUUCCCAGGUGGGUGCCCCUGUUUAGAACGUGCCAUUCCUCUGGGGUGGCUCUUGCUCUGAAUCCCAGUGCAGACCGUGACCGCUGGAAAAAAACGUGGCAGUUACGGCCACAGUGACUUCAGCUCUCACUCUCAGAUGCUGGCUUCCCUGCCUUGGAGGAUUUGACUAAGUUGAGUGGAAAGAAUAACAAAUAUUUUUAGAGUACUUGAUUCGGUUUACAUGGAAAACUGCUGUUUUCUUUCCUUUCUUUCUUUCUUUCUUUUUUUUUUUUUUUUUUUUUUUUUUUUUUUUUUUUGUAGGUCAGAAGCAGUCAAGUAUCAGCAGCUUCACAUGCUUCAGCCUUAUGCAGACUUUAUGCUGAUUGGAUCAGUCAAUUAAUCAUUAAUUAAUCCAACCAGCCCAACAGUUAACUGGGCAAACAAAACUGGAGCAAAACUGGAAGAGUAAUGCAUGCAGGGAUGGCACCUACAAAGCAAAAUUUACAUGUCUUAUUAAGGUCCCUGAGCUCCUAAGAGGCAAAGCCGGGUGGGUGGCGAUAUCCUCCUAAAUGCUUCAGACCCUCCAAGGUGGCCCAGCUGGCCCCAAAGGUGACUGAAGAAUGAGCAUGACUUAGAUGGGUGGGGGGAGGGGGGAGCCUCUGGAUGAGGGAGCAGCAUGGCACAGAACGCUAGGUCGAACUGGGGGCAUAGCUGGGAUGAGGAGAGAAAACAACCUAAUGGAGUAGAGGAAGCAUCUGGGACAGUGUGAGCUGGGGAGAGAACGUGGGGUCAGAUUAUAAAAGGUCUUAAAAAAUAGGCAGGGAGUUUGUAUGUUUAAAACCAUCAGUCCUGGUGCUGGAAGGAACCGAAGAGGUCAUCUUUCCUAGCUCACAGAUUUCAGGCAGGAAAGAUGCUCCCUUCUUAAUAUAAAACAAACAGCUGAGGCUCAGAGAUUUGGUUAGAGAUGGAGGGUAAGCUAGAAUUAUGGUUUCUUGCUUCCUCAUUUGAUGCUUGUUAUAGCUCAUCGCACCGAACUUGACUUGCCCUUCAGAAUAAAAAAUAACUGUUUUGCCUAACAAGCUGUCUUAUUUUUAUAGGCUGUUACUAUUUAAAACUGCUUCACAUUUCUAAAGUGCCAACAAGGAAUCACAGGUUCUUAAGGAGAAUUUCUUGGCAGUGACAUAAUAAAAGCAUUUCAGAAGGAUGAGCCUGUCAAAAGCAUUCUAAAUAGAUCAUUAAGAGAGAGAGACUGGAGUGAGGAAAGGGGGACAAAUAAAAGAGGCCCCCGAGAUGCCCUGGAAACGGGGCCCAGAGGCAAGGCAAGAAUUCCAGAUGAUGCCAGAAGAAGGCUGAGCCACUGACAGAACUGGGGAGGACCAGAACGAGAGCCAGCUCUGAUGGAAAAGAUUCUACAUUUAGGGGAAGGAGGCUGAUGUUUAGGAGGAGGCUGAAGAUAGAAGACUAGACAUCUGUGUGAGGUUGAUGCUGGAAACAGAUUUAGGCAUCAUUAAUGCCGAGAUAAAGAUAGAAGCUGUGAAAAAGGAUGAGUACACCAAGGGUGAGAGUCUUAUGAGAAAACUCAAGGUAACUGGCCUCCAACAGAGAAGGCACCUGGCCUCCAAAUUCCAUUUCCCCACCACAGCAUAGAGUCAUUGCCGAGGAAGGGGCUUCCCCGCCGUGAACGUCUGAUGCCAACUCCCCUGGCAUCUAGAAGUUGUCUCCUAUGGAGAAUGAGCGGAAGCGAGAUGCGUCACAUCCAGGCCAAAACCUUAAAGCAGACGUGCCCUGCAUUCUCUUUUUCCCCUUCGGCUGUGGCGGUAACAUUGAGUGGGAUGGUGGGGCCACAGAAUGGAAGGCUCCUGGCUCCCUGGCUAGAGGAAAACCACCUGCCACUGUGGGUUAAAACAUGAGUGAGAAAUGGACUUCUCGGAGUUUCCAUUGUGGCCUAGCAGUUUAUGAACCUCACUAGUAUCCAUGAGGACGCAGGUUCGAUCCUUGGCCUCCCUUAGUGGAUUAAGGAUCUGGUGUUGCUGUGGCUGUGGCAUAGGCCAGCAGCUGCAGCUCUGAUUUGACCCUGAGCCUGGGAACUUCCAUAUGCUGCAGGUGUGGCCCUAAAAGGCAAAAAAGAAAAAAAAAAAAAAAAAA
rnacentral:lncRNA from 1 species